rnacentral:tRNA from 1 species
UAGGCAUACUGUAUAUUUACAAACCACCAUCCAAAUUCGCACUUUAGAUCUAUUUAGGCCU